CCCGACCCAUCUGACAGAACUGGAGCUGAGCGAACCCAACCUGGAAGGUUCUGGACUGAAGGAUCUCUGUGGUUUUCUACAGACUGAAGGCUGCAGACUGAAGACAUUGAAAUUGUGGGACUGCAGUUUCUCAGAGACCAGCUGGACGUCUCUGUUCUCAGCUCUGAAGUCCAACCCGACCCAUCUGACAGAACUGGACCUGUUCAGAACCAACCCGGAAGGUUCUGGACUGAAGGAUCUCUGUGGUUUUCUACAGACUGAAGGCUGCAGACUGGAGAGAUUGUUGUUGAGGAGCUGCAGUUUGUCACAGAUCAGCUGUGAUUAUUUGGCCUCAGCUCUGAAGUCCAACCCGACCCGUCUGACAGAACUCAACCUGAGAGGAAACAACCUGGAGGAAUCAGAUGUUCAUCAGCUGAUGGAUCUUGUAAAGACUGUAAAGUGGAAGACACCUUUGUUGUCCUGCUAAUCCUCAGAGGUUGAAGCUGCAGCAGUUUGAGUCUAAAGAGUCUCUGGAUCAAGAUGAUGACCUCUGACCUCAGAACAUUUUCCUUUUCUAUUUCAAAUGUUUUCCAGAUGUCGAUCAGAAUGUUGAAGAUUUUCAGUUUUAUUUUUGGACUCUUUACUGGAUCAUCUGUAAAGAGUCCAUCUGUUUGAUGAUCUGCAGGAACAAAAGAGAGAAAAAUACUCUAAGUUCGUUAGAAAAGUUAAAUUGAGUAGAAACAUGAAACAUUAAUUUCAUUAAAAACUUGUUAAUGGGACAAAUUGUAAUUUUAUUCUGUCGUGGUGAAAAAGUUGAUCUAAAAUCAGACAUGAUAGCAGCUCUAUAGAUUCAGAGCCAAACAGUAAAACUUCCUCUGGAUCUGUGGCAUUAAAUCCACUUGAGAUCCAGACGUCCUGACCAGAUCCUGCAGAGAAAAGAAACAAUAUUUGAACGUGGAUCAUUUGGACUCAGCUGCUUGGAUGUGUGUUUGGAUUUGAAAGGUUUUGUUGUGAAGCAGAAAGUUGAUGAAGUUCACAGUGAAGACGACUUCAGUCCACCUGAAACCUGGUUUCACUCAAACCGUCUUUAUUCACUUUAAGUUUCUGAUGCAACAAGAAGGAAGAAAAGGUCAAAGUUGAACCAGAGAUCAACUCCAUGUUGCU